rnacentral:rRNA from 1 species
AUGAAAACUGGCGGCGUGCCUAUCAUGCAAGUCGAAGCUGACCUCUGGUGCUUGCACUAGAGUGAUGAGUUGCGAACGGGUGAGUAACGCGUAGGUAACCUACCUUUAAGCGGGGGAUAACUAUUGGAAACGAUAGCUAAUACCGCAUAACAACUUUUAACACAUGUUAGGAGUUUGAAAGGGGCAACUGCCUCACUUAGAGAUGGACCUGCGUUGUAUUAGCUAGUUGGUAGGGUAAAGGCCCACCAAGGCGACGAUACAUAGCCGACCUGAGAGGGUGAUCGGCCACACUGGGACUGAGACACGGCCCAGACUCCUACGGGAGGCAGCAGUAGGGAAUCUUCGGCAAUAGGGGCAACCCUGACCGAGCAACGCCGCGUGAGUGAAGAAGGUUUUAGGAUCGUAAAGCUCUGUUGUAAGAGAAGAAUGUUGUGUAGAGUGGAAAGUUACACAAGUGACGGUAUCUUACCAGAAAGGGACGGCUAACUACGUGCCAGCAGCCGCGGUAAU